UCUUUUAAUUGAAGGCUGGAAUGAAAGAGUAAACCAAGAAAGAAAUUUUUCUUAUUUAGAAAGUGAAGUUUACUUUUUAGUAAAAAGGCUAAAAUAAUACUUAAAGACGAGAAGACCCUAUAAAACUUUUAUAUUAAUUGCUUUUUAAUAAAAGCUUUAGUAUUUUGCUGGGGCGGCAGGGGAAAUUGACUUCUCUUGAAGAAAACUAAGAAUUAGACUUUAAAUAACCAAAAGUUUUGAAAAAGGAAUAAGUUACUUUAGGGAUAACAGCUUAAUUUGUUUUGAAAGGUCUAAUUGACAAACAAGUUUAGGACCUCGAUG
rnacentral:rRNA from 1 species